rnacentral:misc_RNA from 1 species
GCGCAACAACUUCCACCUGGCUUACCUUUUCAAUCUUGUGUCAUUGCUUGUAUCGCAUUGAAUGCAUGGUGGGUUUCUUGUGUUGCAUGCCUAAUUGAUGGUAUCAUUUGAAGAAUUGAUGUCCCUUUUCAUCUUGUGUCGCACAUGCAAUGUGAGAUGAACCUUGAAGUAGCCUUUGUGAUCCACUCUUUCGAUGUACACGCAUUGAUUUUGUGGCCCACUGUGUGUUGCAUGGUCUCAUGGAUAUGGAACCUGGUGUGGGCAUGGGAUCUUUACUAGUUCCUUGUUUGCCUUGAUUUAGCUUUUCUAAUACGAUUGUUUAUCACAUUUUAAUGUGGUAGGCUAUAUCGGAUAUGAAUGCUACCUGGUUGAUCCUGCC